GGUUGAAAUACUUUGUUCACUGGACUCCGUUACCCCCUCAAGGAUGGACCUCGAGUUUCAAAAUAUCCUGUAGACACAAGAGUCUGGACAGCGGACAGUCGACAGGAGUCAUCUUUCUUCUAUUUUUGUUGCAAGUGAUACUCUAUGAUUAACUUCCUACGCGUAGCCAUUCACUGAAAAUAACAAUGUCCACCUGUGUCAGAAUUCCAAGGUCUCUCUAUAAGCGGAAAAAGAAAUCGACAUGCCCAUCGGAAGACUCACCCUAUGCUCGCUUAGAGCAACACAUGAAAAGAUUCUUCCGACGGCUGGAACGACGCUACUCGCCCUGGAUGGUCAAUGCAAUAGCAGUCGUCUUGCUUCUCGUCUCACUCAUUUUCGCCAGUUUCUUUUUUUACAUCUUCUACGAAAUCAACUUUAAUAGGGGUCAACAAAGCACACCGACAAAGCUCAACUAUAUAUUGAAAUAAGCACUACGUAUAUUUUGUUUAGUUGGCUGAACGCCACCGGCUAUGCUUGUGAAGCUCUCCGACCUGUAGAUGCCUAUAGUAAUUUUUUUUUUAAUAGUUCCUGUUUAGUUUUCCGAGUUUCGAUUGAGAAGUAAACUUGUAUAUACGCAUUCUAUAUAAAUUUGCAAACGAACAUUUCGUGCGGCGUAUGCACUACCGCUAAUACUAAUAAAAAGAAACAGUGGCAUACCAUCGAUACUGUGAGGUACUAUGAAGUACAUUUCUCUCAUACGUGAUACUUGAAAAGCUUCAUCUUUAAGGUAAGCCUGGAUUGUUUUUAUGGAACAAGUAUUUUGAAAACAGCAUUAAAAAAA